rnacentral:ncRNA from 1 species
AUUUAGCGCAUGAGCCUGAUAUAUGGUCAGGCUGACGAGGAAAGAGGUUGUCGAAUUUUCAGCGGAUGCCUCUCGGUGGUGCCCCAUCGAAAGCCUAUGUCAAAGCCACGGGUAACUGAUGGUACAAAGCAGAUG